rnacentral:rRNA from 1 species
AUCUCCCCCCCGGAAAUGUUUUUCUUCAUAGCGAGGAAAGAAACUAACAAGGAUUCCCCUAGUAACUGCGAGUGAAGCGGGAAAAGCUCAAAUUUAAAAUCUGGUGGUCUUUGGCCAUCCGAGUUGUAAUUUAGAGAAGCGUCUUCCGCGCUGGACCGUGCACAAGUCUCCUGGAAUGGAGCGUCAUAGAGGGUGAGAAUCCCGUCUUUGGCACGGACGCACCAGGGCUUCUGUGAUGCGCUCUCGACGAGUCGAGUUGUUUGGGAAUGCAGCUCAAAAUGGGUGGUGAACUCCAUCUAAAGCUAAAUAUUGGCGAGAGACCGAUAGCGAACAAGUACCGUGAGGGAAAGAUGAAAAGCACUUUGGAAAGAGAGUGAAACAGUACGUGAAAUUGUUGAAAGGGAAACGCUUGAAGUCAGUCGCGUCGAUCGAGACUCAGCCUUGCCCUCGGCUUGGUGUACUUCUCGGCUCGACGGGUCAGCAUCAAUUUUGAUCCUUGGAUAAUGGCGAGGGAAAUGUGACACCUUUUUAGGUGUGUUAUAGUCUCUCGUCGCAUGCAAGGGUCAGGAUUGAGGAACUCAGCAUGCACCUUCGGGUGUCGGGGCCUUGGCCCACGUUACGUGCUUAGGAUGCUGGCAUAAUGGCUUUAAACGACCCGUCUUGAAACACGGACCAAGGAGUCUAACAUACCCGCGAGUGUUCGGGUGGAAAACCCGUGCGCGUAAUGAAAGUGAAAGUUGGGACCUCUGUCGUGGAGGGCACCGACGCCCGGACCAGAGCUUCUGUGACGGAUCUGCGGUAGAGCGUGUAUGUUGGGACCCGAAAGAUGGUGAACUAUGCCUGAAUAGGGUGAAGCCAGAGGAAACUCUGGUGGAGGCUCGUAGCGAUUCUGACGUGCAAAUCGAUCGUCAAAUUUGGGUAUAGGGGCGAAAGACUAAUCGAACCAU